rnacentral:rRNA from 1 species
UACGAAGGGGGGCUAGCGUUGCUCGGAAUCACUGGGCGUAAAGGGUGCGUAGGCGGGUCUUUAAGUCAGAGGUGAAAGCCUGGAGCUCAACUCCAGAACUGCCUUUGAUACUGAGGAUCUCGAGUUCGGGAGAGGUGAGUGGAACUGCGAGUGUAGAGGUGAAAUUCGUAGAUAUUCGCAAGAACACCAGUGGCGAAGGCGGCUCACUGGCCCGAUACUGACGCUGAGGCACGAAAGCGUGGGGAGCAAACAGG